rnacentral:lncRNA from 1 species
CUCCCCAAAACCACACUUUCAGGUCUGAGGGUCCCUACCCACAGCUGGCUUCGACUGAUAAUGAGGAAUUGCCAUACAGCCAAUGGCUGGGCAGAAAGAUGGAGGUGGGACUUCUAGAUUGCACAGGCCUUUGUCCUUAUUCAGUGUGUCCUUCCUGGAACUCCACCAUAAUCUCCUGCCUCCAGACUGCUCCCACCCACCUCAGCAGUGAUGCUCCUGGCAGAGUGUUCUUCCUACAUUACAAAUUUGGCCAUGGAUCUCCUCCAUAUUCUCCAUCUCCUAUAGCAACAGUUCUUAAAGUAUAACCUGUGCUUAUUCAGGCUUAGGCAUUUGGCUGUCAGGGUCCCAAAGUUAAUGAAGUGGGUGUGUGUUGCUUUAAGGAAAUCAACCAGCAAUGUUUGAUGCCAGUGAUGAAAUGAGAAUUUGGGAAACACACAUCUGUCACCUUGAGCAUGGUGGUACACCGACCCUUGAUGAUUUUCUAGGUGAGACUGGUGGCCUUGUUUGAGGCAUUGUAUAAUGAGAUGUGCAUGUGUUCAGAAGAGUCGCAUGACUCAGUGAACUAAUAUUUCCAAAUGAUCAAUUUUGGGAAGACUAAAAUGUGUGUAUGUACAAAUGACCAAUCAGGUGUGUUUUAAUGCCCAAAUCUUCAUGAGUGUGGCUUUAUGUUCACAUUGCAGCUAACCCUGAACAAAAUACCACUUAGGACAGACUGACGUGUGUAAUCACAGCAUUCUUGU